GGUUGGAUGGCCGAGUGGUCUAAGGCGCUAGUUUCAGGACUAACACUGCUUCAGUGUAUCACUUACUAGUCUUAACGGGCGGGGGUUCGAAUCCCCCUCCAGCCA